rnacentral:tRNA from 1 species
GGCUCAAUGGUGUAGCGGUAUGAUUCUCGCUUUGGGUGCGAGAGGCCCCGGGUUCGAAUCCCGGUUGAGCCC